GAUGAACGCUAGCUACAGGCUUAACACAUGCAAGUCGAGGGGAAACGACAUCGAAAGCUUGCUUUGAUGGGCGUCGACCGGCGCACGGGUGAGUAACGCGUAUCCAACCUGCCCACCACUUGGGGAUAACCUUGCGAAAGUAAGACUAAUACCCAAUGACGUCUCUAGAAGACAUCUGAAAAGGGGAUUUAAAAGAUUUAUCGGUGAUGGAUGGGGAUGCGUCUGAUUAGCUUGUUGGCGGGGUAACGGCCCACCAAGGCGACGAUCAGUAGGGGUUCUGAGAGGAAGGUCCCCCACAUUGGAACUGAGACACGGUCCAAACUCCUACGGGAGGCAGCAGUGAGGAAUAUUGGUCAAUGGACGUAAGUCUGAACCAGCCAAGUAGCGUGCAGGAUGACGGCCCUAUGGGUUGUAAACUGCUUUUAUGCGGGGAUAAAGUGAGGGACGUGUCCCUUUUUGCAGGUACCGCAUGAAUAAGGACCGGCUAAUUCCGUG
rnacentral:rRNA from 1 species